AGUACUUCUGGGUUUUCUUGGAAUCUGGCGGAUCACCCAAAGCUUCCCAAACGGUAGACCGCAACCGUCGCGGUUUUAGAUGGAUGGAUAGGUGUUCUUGGUUGCUUUAGAUGGGUUCUUCCGAGACCGUGUUGGGAAGAAUGAGUGGCUUGGAGUUUUCUUGAAAACUGGAGGACACUGAGUCUUCCGGACGAGGGGAUCGGCGGUGGCGGUUAUAGACGGGAAGCAUUUCGGGAAGAUGAAUAUGACGUUUCCGUGGGAACUGGCGGGCGGACCACCCGACGCCUUUCGAGGGGAAGACGGCGGCCGUCGUGGCUUUCGAUGGAUGGAUGGGUGGGUACGUGUUCUUGAUUUCUCUGUUGUGUUCUUUGUUGGAGUCGUCUGACAGAACUGGCGGACCACCCGAGGCUUCCCGAUGGGAAGACGACGGCGGCGGCCGUCGUGGUCUUGUACGGACAUUUACGUGUUCUUGCAGGCAGUCUUCGAUGUGUUGUUAGCAGAGCAGAGCAGAGCAGAGCAGAGCACUAUAGGAAGGGUGGUUAGAUCGGGGUUUUCUUGGCAACCGGCAGAGACCCGAGGCUUCCCAGUGCCAGCCAUAUGUUUGGUGAUGUAUGGAUUGGCGUUGGUUGCUCAAUUGAGCAAGGAUUGGUAGUAUCUUUAGUUUAUCUGGAUUCAUGUACAGAGCAAGCAUCUUUCUACAUUAUUAAGCACUUUUGCUCGAAUAAUUCUAAAAUUCUGAGACAUUAGAUUCAGUAGUUUUAUGCAUUUGGCUUUAGCAGUUUUAGAUAAGUUAAGCAAAGUCCAAAAAUAACCACCUCGUCACCUUAG
rnacentral:lncRNA from 1 species